GACCCCGUGGUGAAAAUGUUAUCACAUCCACCCCUGUUGUGAGCGCAUUUGGUUACAGGUGGGAGUCUCUUGUUCGAACCAAGGCCGGGUCA